CACACCCGGAGCCGGUUGUGGCCGUGGGCUCCCCCUGCUGGCGCACGGCCGCCGCGCCCCGCCGUCCUCGGCGGCUGUGGAACAGUGCUGUCUGCCAGGGUUUCCUCCAGGGGCCCGUUCAGACUUCCGCACAGACUUCCCCACCCUUGGCAACGCUCUCCACCCCCAUCUGCUUGACCCUAUUAUUUGUCGGGGUGGCGGAGAGAGCUUUGCAUUGAUUGCUUUUCUUUCCCAGAACUUCAAGAUGGACCUCCUUCUCCAAGAAAGUAUGGGUCUACGUGUGUGAUAGCUCACAAGAGGGCAAAUGCUUUGAGAUUGCCCAUGGAAGUGAAGCCUGUGGUCCUCGCAGAGUCACCAGAGACAGAGACAGAGUGCCAGUGGAGGAGGAGCAGAGAGAGAGGGAGACAGAGAAUCCGAAGCAGGCUCCAGGCUGUCGGCGCAGAGUCCGACACAGGGCUCGAACCCACCAACCGUGAGAUCAUGACCUGAGCAGAAGUCAGUUGCCCAAUGGACUGAGCCCCCACAUGUGGCUAUUUUGAAGAGAGAGAGAGCAUGUGCACACGAGCAGGGGAGGAGCAAAGAGAGAGAGGGAGAGAGGGGAUCCAAAGCAGGCUCUGCUCUGAUAGCAGAGCCCAAUGCGGGACUUGAACUCACGAACCUCAAGAUCAUGACCUGAGCCGAAGUUGGAUGCUUAACUGUCUGGGCCACCCAGGCACCCCGUCCUCUAUCUUCUUUGAUGCCUUUUGAAUUUUGUAUCCUAUGCAUGUGGUACCAAUUUUGAAAAUGAUAUCCAGGCAAUGGGGAUCCCCUGGAGAAUUUCAGGCAGAAUUUUGCCUGAAAACAAGGCUGUCAUCGUUAAUGCUGCUGAUCAACUCUUCUGAGUCUUUGAGGGGACCCAGAGUUUCAGUUUCAAGCACCAUGUGUUCAUAUGUGCCUCUGCAACAUCCCUGCAGCUCAUUGCAUUUCAUUGUAUUUUACUGCAAGAAUCAUAGCUUCUCCAAGUGCUGCCUUACAGGACAGAAAAAUCAAGAUGGAGCUGGGACAUCCUUGUUGUUAAAAACAUUCAGAUUAACAUAUAAUUCUGGAAAAGCAAGCAGGCCAGCCCAAAGGAAGCAGACUCAUCAUCUAAAGAGCAAUGAUUAUGCCCAGUUGAACAAGUAGUCUUAGAAGAACUUUGACUUCCCACUGAUCCUGCGCAGCACUGAUUAGCUUUCCUCCAAUCUAAGUCCAAACACUCCUGAAAACUUCAAGGAAUUCCAAAAACGAAGCUAUAUAAUUUCUGAAGCAAUGUGAUAACAAAUAAAGAAACAAAUAAAUAAAUUGAGGUGCUGUGUGUGAGAACACAAUCCCUCCCAAGAACUGGUAUCCAUUGGCAAUGGAAGCCAAGUCCUUUGGCUUUCGCAAAAAUAAGAGACUGCAUGAAACGUUUUGGCAGCAAAUGAGAAGUAGAACACUUAGCUCAGACAUGCAUACCUCACAUUUGUGCCAAUGCCUGUGGCCACAAGCAGAGGUGGCUCCAGCAGGAGUUUCAUCUUUGGACAACCUUGGCAGAGCCAGGAGUUCUUACAACAUCAAAAUGGAGCAGAGAGGAAUGUGUCCUACCACAGGAUAGUCAUAGAAGGAGCUAGUCACUUACCUCCUUCCCUAGUGGGUUCUAAGUAGCUAAGAGGAGACAGAAUCAAAGCCAAGGUCACCUUCACACCGUUAGUACUGAAUUGGAGAGCAAAGCUUGCUACCACUGCCUCUCUAAAUUGAAGGUAAUUGGCAGAGUAGAGUUGACCUGAUGUACCCAGCAAGUUUUAGGUAAAAUGUCUCUAACCCAGAGCAGAGACCUGGAUGGAUAGAGCAGAAGCAAGCCCUGCUGGCUGGAGACUCAAAAUGUUACUUGAGCCUGCCACGUCUAAGUGCAGGUGGCCCAAGGGAAGGAGACAGGGCACUCUGCCUUGCUUGUGUAAGCCCCCACCAGUAAAGUGGACCAAUCAGUUUAGCUAUUCUUCAGACUACAGGGAGAGAUAAACAAGGCAGUGGAGUGAAGGGUGGAUGUUUCCUCACCAACAUUUGUGAAAGGGCUGAAUUACUGUACAAUGUGUCCUCUUUUAUGAACAAAAGCAGGAGUAUGUAGAAAAGAUGAGAAAGGUCCCUCCUGUAUAAGUCUGUGAGGCCCGUGGAGCAUCUUGGGAGCUGAUAGGGUAGAGCCAAAGAAAUAAUGAUUUGUGACUCUUGUUACGACCCUUCUUCUACACACAGACAUCUAGAUAGCUUCGAAAUCCCAGUCCAUAUUUUGGAGGCCCUACCGAAGGGAUUCUAACAUUGUAAAUUCCGGUGCUUCCCAGGUGGCUGUGAGAUUUCCUGCUUCUCAGUUUCAGGCAUGACUCCUAAUCAUGGUGACAAAAUGCUUUAUCGCUGGGGCCUUAGGAUUCAGACUGCCCUUUCAUGAGUCUCAAGAUGCCAACCAGGGGAGAGUAGGGGAAACCUCUUUGCCUAGUUGGAGCCCACGGAUGGACCACUGAGGCCCUGAAACAUCAGGCAGAGGAGCCUACUGAGCUAAGGGGUGGGAUGAUUUACACUCUCUUCAGAAGGAUCAGGAGUAUAUCUUGGAAGCUCAUCUGGAAAGUGACAUUUAUGGACACUAACUUGUCUCCACAAAGGAAAUCCUUUGCAGACAUCCUCUCCCUCACUCCCCAGAGACCUAGGAAAAGUUUCCUCGGAGUGGGACUGAAAUAAUAGAAUAGGCGAUUGGGCAGGCAGUUAAGCCCAUGAUAGCAGCCACACUGUAGACAUAGUGCAGAAAUGACCAAUUUUGGGGAUGGAAGAGAAAAAAAAAGUAAGAGAGCAACAGGCUUGGAGGCUAGAUGGAGGCUACAAUUGGGGAAGAAUCCUUGAAGACCCUACUGAGUAUUUGAGCAUGUGGAGAGCAGCAAGGACCUGCUUGUUAAAUUCCUAAAUGCCCCAAAGGCAGGAAAAUGGAACCUCAGCAUGUGCGUUGAUAAUGAAGAAACCUACAGAGGCACAAGAGAGAGGGACUACUUACAAGAAGGGGGGAAGCAAUAUAGCAGCUCUAGGAUAGAGAGAUGAGAGUCUGAGUUUUGUUUGUUGGUUGCUUUUGUCUUUAAAGCUACAGAUGUGGGGGGGGGGGGUGGCGUGUGGGCGGCUCAGUCGGUUGAUUGUCCAACUCUUGAUUUCAGCUCAGGUAAUGCAUGGGAUUGAGCCCUGCCUUGGGCUCUGUGGAACGUGGAGUCUGUUUAGGAUUCUCCCUUUUCUUCUCCCUCUGCCCCUCCCCUGCUUGAGCUCUCUCUCUAAAGUGAAACCAAUCAAUCGAUCAAUCAAGUUGCAGAUAAGGGAGAAGAUGGUUUGUGGAAUGAGGUGUGCAGAGGGGGUGGAGAGGGUAGGAUCCCCAGGGGAUAUGGAAGGGUUCCCUUGCAGAGGAAAGAUACACCUAUUCCCACCGAUGCCUUCCAGAGAAGAAUAGAAGCAAACACCAGUAUAUCUUGAAUAGAGUGGGGAAAGUUGACACGUAGCAUCUUAUUGCCACUGUUCUCUCUGUGAAGUAUGCAACAAGGUCAUUGCUUAAAGUGAACAGAAGUGAAGCUGUGGGGAAGCGAUGGCAGUUUUAAAAGGCCAUUGGGGAAAACAGUGAGAGACCUGAGGGGCUGAGCCAGCCAAGGGAGGGGCGUGAGGGAAGGGUCACAGCAAGGCAUUAGUGCAAAGUGGUGGGGCCGGUGGUGAGAGCUCGGGAGGAACUGGACAAGGGCUGGAGUUUCAUAGUGACUGGACCAGAAGGGCAACCCUAUGUGGGGUGAGGCUGGGGGUCUGAGCCAACUGCCCUUUGAGGGCCCCAGAUUUCCCCCAUUUUCUUUGCUCCCUGACAGAAACCUGAUUCUGAGAGAGGCCAUCACCUCAUAAUGAUGGCAAGACUAAGUGGCACGUGCCAAAGGGAGCCAGAACUGAGACUAUCAUGACCUAGAGGUUACAGGAUCAGGCAACACUGAGUGAGUCUGACAGAAAGCCAGAGAAGAGGGCAUGGAGGUUAUCAAUCCAACCCCUUAUUUGAGAGCUGAGGACACUGAGGCCCAGAGAGGUAAAGGCGGUAGCAGAAGGGGCUCUCAGAAGAUGGCCCUUUCCUAACCCAGGAUUAUUUCUAUGGCUCCCAGGCUGGGCAUGGGGAGGGAGAGAACUGGGUGAAUCUCUUCUUAGAGCCACCAGCCUUCCAAGGGACAAGCUCUUGUUCAUGCUCCUGGGUGGGCCAGUGGGCAUGACAUUUACUUAUCCACGCCUCAGCUUCUCAGGCCAAAAAAACAAAAAACAAACAAACAAAAAAAAAAACAAAAACACAAAACCACACACACACACACAAAACAAAAAACAAACAAACAAAAAAACCUCUCUUCUCCCACUUCUCAGGAUACUCAAGUGCUGGUAACAAGGGUGGAGGAAGGGCUUCCUAAGGAUGGGGACAGUGGAGGAAAGGGAACACUGACGUAGGGCCAGCAUUUGUAGGCAAAGCAGCUGCUUGUAUUUGCCAGCCUCACAGGAAGACAAGGUUAAGAGUUUCAAAACAAGUUAAUGGCCAGUAAAAAAAGAUCAGGUAGAUUAUACCUCAGUAACUGCUCAGCAGCAAUUCUGUCCCAUAACCUAUCAUGCCCUACACUAGAUCUGUCUCAGAAUUCUGUUUGUCAACUAGCACCUGGGGCUGGGACACCCCCGAGGUGGACUUUGUUCUCCUAUCCAAUCACCAUCUGGUUCCCAGGGCAAAAUGUGGUAUCUAUACCCAGAGUGAGAGCUUCCAGUCCUGGUGGGGGACAUCAAGGCCUCAAAGAGAAGCCAACCCCCACAAUGUUCUACAGAUGAUGUAGCUGGUGCCUAGAGAGCCCAGGAAGGGCAUAAGUCCCCAUGGUCCUCUGGCUGCCCUGCCUCCAUGGAAGGAGGACAGCCCUGAGGUCUUGGCUCUUGUGCUAAUGAACUCUGACCUGUGGCCCCGCUAACUUGGCUGGAGGCCCAGCAUACCCUCCACCCCUGGAUCCCAUUUCAAGGGAUAUAGUGGGGCCCUUCCUGCCCUCCAGAUCCCAGAUCCUGGGCUGUGCAACCCCAGAUACUGUGAGAGGAAGGGCCCAUGAACAAGCAUGCAGUCAGACAGUCCUGUCUCCUCUGCAGAGACCACCUUCCACUGCAUCCAUAGAGAUUUUUUUUUAAUGUUUAUUUAUUUUUGAGAGACACAGAGUGCGAGCAGGAGAGGGGCAGAGAGAGAGGGAGACACAGAAUCCAAAGCAGGCUCCAGGCUCUGAGCUGUCGGCACAGAGCCCCAUGCAGGACUUGAACUCACAAACCACGAGAUCAUGACCCUGAGCCAAAAUCGGAUGCUUUAACCAACUGAGCCACCCAGGCACCCCCCUACUACAUCUAUAGAGAUUUUUCUUUAAAAGAAUUUUGCAGUGCCAGGUUAUCUUCAACCUGAAAAAAUUCAGAGGGUCAGUACUAGAUAAGGUUGUGAAGGGCAAAACAGAGACUGCCCUUGGCAGAAGUGUGAUUCUGUACAGAGAAGUGAGAAGUGGCCGGUCUCAGUGUCUGCAGGCCUGGGUCUCAGAGUGAGCAGCCUAAGCAUGUGUCUCGGGGAGCGUGGCUAGGCCGGGAAAUGCACAGGGUGUUUGGCCUGGGAACUACUGAAUCCUCACAGCAAGGCUGAAGUCCUAGAGAUGGGCAGUUCACCGGCAUCCCCUUUGGUGCCAGCUCCACAGCCAAGGACUUGGUAAAUAGCAGGGCAGUUUUGCUGGCAGUGCAUGCCCCCAACAUCUAGGAAGGAACAUGAAUCGGAACAAAUACACAAUAGGUGGGAGGAGAGGCUCCGGCCAGACCUCCUGGGCUGUGGAGGAUGAACCUGCUCACUUCUAGGCCCUGCUCAGACCUUUCUCCCAAUCUGCCCCUGGGAAGUACCAAGGAACAAAAUCUGAGCAGGAGCUGGGUGAAGCCUGGGCUUAAAGAAAAGUCAGCCAGGCAGAGGCCAUGUUUGCCCAUGUUUCCUUGACCCAGGGAGAGGAGCUUCCGGGCCGGGUCGGGGAAACUGGGCUGCAAAGCCCUGAGGCCGGAUCCCUGCUGUACCAGGAACCAGCCAACCUAGGGCUCAAUUUCCUCAUCUGCCACAUGGAAUAUGUGAGCUCUGCUAUAGAUAGUCACAAGAGUGUUUUGUAGGGACACUGAGAGCCUAUACUGCCCCCUGGUGUGAAUUUCUUUUCCUUUCCUUUCCUUUUUUUUUUUUUUUUUCCUGUUUUUCCCCUCGUGUGAAUUUUAAAAAGAACUCUCUAAUGUACACUACAGCUCCACAGAAGCCUGACUUGGUAAAUACAAAUGUUAGAGGCAUCUCCUUUCUUCUGGCAAAUGUAGUGCCCGGUCACAGUGCGUGGCUCAGCAGGGAGAGCGUAGACUGGAUUUCAGCCCCAGCUUGUCCCUGGGUUUGAUUCUCUUGCAUGGUGAACAGCCUCAUAAUCAUAUGUAGUCGUCCCGGGGUUGUGGGGACUGGAUGAGAUAAGGGCAAUGAGCAUAAUUUUAAAUGUGGGCAGGAUGGCAUUCAAUUCAUUUGAAUUUUAUUACAACACAGGAUUAGUAUUCACUUCCCCUACACCAUGGCAUCUACCACACCGCCCUUUCCAAAGCUCCCCACUCACUGUUUGAGGUGAGCAGUGGUGAUCAGCACCACAGAGCCUUCCCUGUGAGGAGACAGACAGGUGUGACAAGGUAGAAGGUAGGCAUAACCGAGAAGCCCAAUGCUUCCAGAAAAUGGGCUCCCAAGUGCUGAGGAGGCAGAACUGAGGCAUGAGAAGAAGGGAGAGUGGAGAUGGUGCCAGGGUCUCUGGGGAGGUAGGACCUGGGAGGGUGCUGCCACAGUUUCCCUGGCUGGGAAAUCCAGGACUUGCUGGAAUCAGUCCCGUGAGCAGAGAUCAAUAAGCAGCUAGAUCUCUGGAGAACAGAUCCAGGAAUAUGGAGCCAGCCAUGUACAAGGUCAGAGUAGCCCCAGGGAAGGCCACUCCCAUAGGAGGGGAAAUGCAUAGAGUCACCCAAGUUCCAAGUCUGAAUUGAGAGCAAGAGCAGGAACUAGUUGCUGAUGGUCACAGGAAGAGAUGAAGAGCAAAAGUAGGGAGAAAGUUGGCGAGCAGGGGAAAUACUUCCUCUGGCCUCUUUGGAGGGGUUAAGCACUCUGGGUUAUACCAUGAGGCCCCUGUCUCUUGCAGCUGCCUCUGCCAUUCUCAAGGACAGAGCACAUCAGAGAUGACCAGGGGCUCCUCUGUGGGUUUGGAAUCUUCCCUCCACGUUCCCUCCAAAUGUUCCCUUUCACUGUGUUGGCCACAUCCCCUGGGGACCCUAAAGAUGUGGUUCAGGAGGUGACAGGAGAUGGGUCUGGCAUCCAGACCUGCUAUCUUUGGGCUACUCUACUUAGUGGCCCCUUCUCCAAGGGUCCCCUUGGCGUAGAGGGAAUCAAGGCAGUCACCCCAACUCCAUGGACCCUCCCUACCCUUACUUCCUCUUGUCCAUGUAUGGCAGCAGCCAGCUCGGCAGCAGGACUGGGCUUUCACCUUCAUGUCUGGGAUCUGAAAUCAGAGGAGGGGGCAGAGGGGAUCUGUGAGGUACCCUGGCCUCUCUGUCUUGCAGUUCCACAGGCCAGAUUGGCUGUGGAAGGGAGCUGGGGGUGUGCACUGCUCUUCUCCAUGUGGCCCCAGAGUGGAAGAAGAGAAGGGGGCUGAGGGGCCUGCUCUGUCCACCAGGAAUUCUUAGCCUAAGAACCCCCUCACUGUUAUUCACUGCACAGAUUCUCUGCAGGGCACAUCACUCUCCAGAAAAGCACAUCGGUGAAAAUAGUAUCAGGAAAGGACAUUAGGAAAGCUGGUGUAUUAACGUCUGCUUUCAUAAGGAGAGUGAGAAUUCAGACUGUGUAAAUACCCACAGUUCUGUGUGGGGCACUGUUCAAGGCUGGUGCUGAAAUUUGAGUGUCCUAUAGAAGCUGGAGGCUGGGCUGAGGAGGGUGAGCAAGAAGCUAAGCCAGGAAGGCCAGGGAAUGUGAGAACUGAACAGAGAAGAUGGGUCAGGGUCUAAGGACAGAACAGCAGGGCUGGUCAGAAGAACAAGACUCCAUGAGGAGGAAAUGGCUCACCCUGACCAUUGGACCCAUCUCUACUGACAGUGUCCGGAGAGGGGGUGGGCCAGGACUGUGCAGACCCCCCUUCAGGGGGCCUUCAGACAGCAGGAGCAGCAGGAGCCCCUAGAAUGCUUGGUGGGCUCUAGUGGGAUGGCAGGUGUGGAUGGGGGUCCCUCCUCUCUGCUGUGUCUGUGGAUGGGUAAGGUGUCCCUGGGACAGCCAGGGUAGAUCAGAGUGGGUGUCGGUGAGUCCAGACUGAGACAGCCUCAGAACCCUGAGGCAGCAGAGAAGCUCUGGCCCAGAGCAGGGUGUGUCCCUUCAGAUCUUGGAAGAGAUCUGCGGUAUCAUUGGCCACCUGGGCAGACUGACCCAGGUGCCUCCACCCAAUGGAACUAGGGACUGUGGGCUCCCAAGAUACACGGGUAGCAGCUGGGAACAUUGCAGGUGUGUGAGCAGAGAUGGGAGACAGGGAAAAACCUCCCAGCUCCAUGCUCCCCAGGCCUCAAUUUGUCCCAUACUUGCCCAUGGCCCCCAGGGUACCCCCACACCAGGGGGUUGACCUCAGUGUUACACACCCCCACAGUGCUCCUGGGCCUGGGACGAGGCAGAGGAAGCACAGAGGAUGAGGAAGAGUCGAAACUCUGGAUCAGAAACCUUCUCCUUCCCUCCACAGUCAUCUGAGAAGGCUCCCUGUCGGAUGGGUCCUAGAACACUGAGCAGCAUUUCUGCAGCCUCCAAUGGGGCCUCAUGCUGAUUUCUCUCACCCUAACACUUAACUCUGAGAGAAAAAUGGACAGUGCCUAAGUCACCACCCUGUACUUGACCUGAGCUCCGUGUUCCCAGCCCUGCUGAGCUCUCUCCUCUCCCCCUCUGUCCUUCCAGGCAGACGGCUCUUCUUAACUCUCCCUCAUUUCUGAAAAUCUUCACUCUCCAAGCCCCAUACACCUGGAGUCUCUUCUCUGGAAAACAUAUCUGGACAAUCCCCACUCCCGCAGUGACCACGAUGGGCUCCCUAACCUGGCAUCUCCCUUGGUCCAGCCCACAGACCUGCCCCUGUCACAGACGUCGUCCCAGCUUCACUGGGCUUCCAGUGUCGGUUCCCUGCAGUGUCCCCCAGGUGCAGAGCCACAGUGGUGGUUAGGAAUGUGGGUUUGGGAGUCAGGCAGACCUUGGUUCAAAAUUAUCCCUGCCACUUAACCUUUCCAGGUCUGUUUCCCACCAUAAAGCUGUUAUAACAACAUCGAGUGCUUCACAUACUAAUGUGACAGGGUGUUAGUAUAUGCCUGGCACAUAGUAAAUAUUCAAAAAUAUGUUAAGGAGAGGAGCAUUUUAACUUAGAGCCCUCCUCCCCCAGACUGGAUCUAUGUGUUUUCAUCUCAACCCUCAGGCCCCUGUGGUCCCUCACCGUGGCCAUCAGCUGCUCCCAGCCUUUGGCCUUCCCCACGUGGCACACGGUGCCCACCACGCUCAGCCCCUCCCCCUGCAGUGCCACCACUGCCCGGUCCACGUUCUGCUGCUUCCGGCUGCUGACCACCACGUGACCCAUCCCAACCCAUGUGCAAAACCCCUCCCACCCUCCUCCUGGGAUCCUGAUCUUAAUACAUUCUCCUGCGUCCCAGCCUCCAAAUCUUUUGAGCAGGAAAGAAGAACUAACAUUUAUAGGCCUAAACACCAUCCUAUUAUCCACUCUACCAUAAAGGCAUUAUUAUCCAAUUACUAUCAUAUUUUACAGAAGUGGUUAAGUAAAGUCAAAAUUGCUCAGGUAAAUAAACGUGGAGCCCAUUCAAAUCCAGGUCUGAGUCCGAAGCACCUGCCCUUUCCACCUUCUUACUUGGCUCCUGGGAUACAGGAGAGUUUAAUGAGAGAGCUCACCCUUGGAAAGAUGAUGAUUACCAGAGCUGGUGAUGGAAUGGGGGGAUUGGACAGGGACGUGGGAGAAGGGAGUUGAUGGCAGAGCCCACCCUGUAAUGGGGACACUGCAUCCUUUGGCACACGCCAGCCAGGGUCUCCCAUUUACUCACCCCUUUGUGGGCCCAGUGACCACAGCCACUUUAUCAGCCAGCACACCACUCCUGCCUGCCUUGCUGCUGUGCAUGCUCACUGAGAGAGAGGCCAAGGAGCAACGAAGAGUCCUAAAGUCCGUGAUGCAGCCCCAGGCAUGGUGGCCAGUUGUCAGGCCUCCCUCUUGCUGAACCCAACCCCAGGAAGGCAGUUGGCAUGGUGGAAGCUGUGUCUUUAUGGUGGUGUCUCUGUGGUAUCUCCCAUGGAUCCCCUAAACUCCCUGCAGUCUCACAGGGAAUAUGCAGAGUGGUCCUCAACCCAGCCCUCAGACCAGCUUCCCACUUCUCAGUGGACCACUCCAUCAUCAGAGCGAACAUGGUCACACCCAAGUGGUUCUUGUUUAGAGGGUCACCAAAGUCCCAUGCAAGGAGCAGAGCUCACUUCUCCAUUCCUUGCCCCCCACCCCCGCCACCCCCCCACCGCAUUACCUGACCACAUCCCUUGUUCUGCUUAUCUCUUGUUUCUAUCCUUCCUCUACAUUGUGUAGCCAUCGCCCCAGCCCCUGUCUUCAUUUUCUCCUCAUGUUAUGGCAACUUCCUCUUCCCACCAUCCUCACCUCAGCCCGGACCCCAGACGUGUCUUCUCUAUGGGCCUCAGGGACCACGUUAUCCCCUCCUCUCUGAUGGCUCUCAUCCAGCUGUGGACAAAGCCCAGCCACUCCCCUUGGCUUGUAGACUUUCCUAGGGGUGCUCCAGGCAGCCCUCCAGGCCUCUCCUCCCUACCCCCACCCCCACUGACCCCAGGCCAUGCCCUUGGAACAGCUCAGGCCCAUUGCUCCAAGAUCCCACUGGGAGUUUGCUGUCCUUCUCACAGCCUUGUCUCAAAACAAGUCUCCCUCCUAAUGCCGCCCUGGUUCCGCUCCCUCUCCUUCCAGCUUCCCCUGCCUCCUGGAGAAGAUUGGAAAAUAGUAAUAACGAUAAUAAUGGCUCUCUUCUAUUGAGCAUUUUCCCUGGGAGGGGCUGUCGUGCUAAGCAUUCCACAUGCAUUUUCUUCCGUCAUCUUCUCCUUGGUCCUGUGAGGUAGACAUUGUUAUUAUCACUCCCAUUUCAAAGAUGAGGAUACUGAGGCUCAGAGAAGUUUGCUAACUUGCUCAAGCUCUCAAAGCCAUAAGGGGAGGAGUACUGACUCAGCCAGAGGCCAGUCAGAAUUCAGGUUCAAUACGUCCUCUCACUCCUGGCAGUGCAAUCCUUGGGUCGACCUUUCCUGAAGACCUACAAAUGAUCUUUCUAUCCUUGUUACCCUAAGAAGUCACUUACUUUUGACGUGUAGAACACUUGUGGGUAAAAAAAAAAAAAAAAAAAAUCUAUCAAAGAAAAUCCUUAUAAAAUUUCAUUUAAAGGGUUGACUGAUAUUUCUAAAAUCUAUUUAAGCCAUUUUUUAGUUUGAAGAAGCAUCUAUUCUUUUGUACCAUUCAACUCCUGCUUCUUAAGAAACCAGGCUCAUGCUCAGUCUUUUGUCUGUGAGAUUCAACAAGUGGUGCCUGGGGACAAGCAACAUAAAAGCCUCCUCUCUGCCCUUGGGACAUGUAUGGUCUCAUUUGAUCCCAUGGGAAGUGAUUAACAAUAACGUGACAGUAACUAGUCAGAUGUCCAAAUGUCUAGUGUAAGGGCCAAGUGUGAUCCCCCAGGGAUGGAGGGCAGGAAGGGCCUAUGCAGGAAGAGGCUUGAGGAAAGAGCAGGAUAUAUUUUGGUGGAGAGGGCUGUGGGGCCCUCCGGGCACCAUUCACUUGUAGAAUGGUGAGGUGGGAAUGUUCACCAGCUAGGACAGAGGAGUGGGUGCUGUGGGCUGAAUGUCUGUGUCCCCCCACAAGUCAUAUGUUGAAACCUACCCCAACAUGAUGGGAUCAGGAUGGAGUGCCUUUGGGAGGUCAUAGGAUUAGACAAGGUCAUAGGGUAGAAACCCUCAAGAAUGGGAUCAGUGCCCUUGUAAGAGUCAUGGGAGAGCUUGCUUCCUCUCCCUGCUCUCUGAGGAUAUGAGACGUCAGUCCCCUGCAGUGGGGAGGUAGGCCCUCGCUGGAACCCGACCACACUAGCCCCUGAUCUCAAGACUUGUAGCCCCCAGAAUGGUGAGAAAUACAUUUCUGCUGUUUUUAAUCAGUCCCGCUUAUGGUAUUUUGUUAUAGCACCUCGAACAGACUAAGUAAGGCGUGAUCCUUGUUAGGGAAGCGCUGAUCUCCUUCAGUGUGAUAAAUGACAAAUCAUCAUACUCAAAAUUUAUUCUAGGUCCCAGUUAAUAGAAGUGGCUACUCACUCUUCUUCUAUAGUCCAUCUUUUAUACAUUUAAUUUUCUUCCCCAUUCUGGAUGGUCCGUCCUAUUCUUUUACAGUGCUCUCAAGAACCCUGCCCAGGAGGAAAGCUACACUUGUCAUAUAACAAGUUCAUUGUCUGAAAAUGGUCAUGGGACCCCACUCUUGGCUGCCUGGACAAAUUGCCAGCUGGGACCUAAGACUCCCCCUUCCCCGGUGGAAAAUGUGCGAUGUUCUCUGACGCUGAACUUGUGGUUUUUUCCAACACCAAACACUUGUCAUUCUUCCACACCAAUCUCCAGUUCUCUGACACCAACUGUGUGUCCAACAAUUCCAUCCAAUUUUGACAUGAACAGGAGUUAGCGCAGACCCUAUGAGGUAAGGACUCGGCCCCACCAGACUGCCCCACUUCAGAUGCCAGCUACAAAGAGAGGGACCAAGAAUGACUCCAGAGUCUGAAGCGUGGGCAGUUGGAAGAAUGACAUCACCAUCAUCUGAGGUAGAGAAAACUGCAGCUAGAACACAUUUGGGGGAAACAGGAGGAGUUUGGUCUGGAGACCGUAUUAGUUACCCAAUUUCCACAUAACAAAAUACACUGAUAUUUGGUGACUUCGGACAACAAUCAUUUAUUAUCUCAGAGUCUCAUGGGGCAAGAAUUCAGGAGUGGCUGACCUGGUGGUUCUGGCUUGGGUGUUCUUAUAAGGUGGACGUCAGGAUGUCAACAGCCUCUCUGUCUCAUACCUCACAUCCACUCUGUCAGGAAAUCCUAUUGAUUCUACCCCUCUCUCUCUAUCGAAAUGUAAUACUGUCACCACUUGCACUGCUACCAGCUGGUGGGAGCCACCGCUAGCUCUCUCCCUUCUAUCCUAGCCUGCCUAAAGUCCCUCCUCGACAUAGGGGUCUAGUUAUCCUUAAACACAUCAGCCAGAGCACAUGAUUCCUUUUCUUUCUUUCCUCCCUCCCUCCUUCCCUUCUUUCUUUCUUUUUUUCUUUCUUUCUUUCUUUCUUUCUUUCUUUCUUUCUUUCUUUCUUUCUUUCUUUCUUUCUUUUAAAUGUUUAUCUAUUCUGAGAGAGAGAGAAAAGGUACGUGUAAGUGGGGGUGGGGCAGAGAGCAAAUCCCAAGCAGGCUGCAUGCCACCAGCACCAGCCCAGAGCCCAAAGCGGGGCUCUAAUCCAUGAACUGUGAGAUCAUGACCUGAGCUGAAAUCAAGAGUCAGACACUUAACCAAAUGAUCCAUCCAGAUACCCCCAGGUGAUUCCUUUUCUUGAAGACUUGCAGUUUUAUCAUUCAGGGUAGAAGUCUGUCUUAGUCCACUUGGACUGCUAUAACAAAAUUACCAUUGACUAGUGGCUUCUAAGUGACAAAACGUUCAUUUUCUGCCAUCUGGAUGCUGGGAAGUUCAAGAUCAAGGUGCUGGCAAAUUUGGUGUCUGGUAAUGGCUAGCCUGCUGGUUCAUAGACAGCUUUCUCAGGCUUCUUUCAUAAGGGCACUAGUCCCAUUCAUGACGUGAGGGCUCUACCCUCAUGACCUGAGGACAUCCCAAAUGCCUCACCUCCUCAUACCAUCAACUUGGGGUUCAUCUCAACAUACGAAUUUUGAGGAGACACAAACAUUCACACCAUAGCAAAGUCCAAAUCCUUACCAUGUUCUAGAAGGGUCUAAAUGUACUGUGCUGUCUCCUUACUUCUCUGACUUCAUUGCUACUAUCCUCCCAGCCACACUGGCCUUGUGUUCCUCAAACAUGACAAACAUACUUCUGCCUUAAGGCUUCUUCAUUGACUGUUACCUCUUCCUGAAAUGCCUUUCCCCAAGAUAUCUUCACACUUAUCACCUUCCCCUUCUGCAAGUCUUUGCUUAAAUGUCACUUCUCAAUGAAGCCAAGCCUGGCCACUCUGUAUUCCUCUAUCCUUCUAGCACACUGGAUCCCUCUUAAACCGCUUUACUUUUUCUUUUCCACUACACUAUAUUUCCAACAUACUAUUUAAUUUACUUAUUUAUAAUGUCUCCUGUUUAUUGUCUAUAUCUCCUGCUAGAAAGUAAGCUCUUUGUCUUGUUGACUGAUGUAUCCCAAGUGCCUAGAACAGUGACUGACACAGAGUAUGCAUUCAAUAAAUAUUUGUUGAAUGAAUAAGUGAAUGAAUAAAUUAAUGGGCCAAUCUACAUAUCCCUAUACAAGAGCUUUCUGUAUUUGUGCACUUUUAAUCUAAAGCUCUCAGUUUCAGUUAUUUCAAACUUGUAUACCUCAGGGAGAAAAACUUAAGAAUGCUUCUCAGCACCUAACAUUAGGGCCCACUAACUUCCUGCACUGACCUUCAGCAAGCAGAAAUGCUAGGAAGUCAAGGGCAGGAGGGAAAUCAUGAUCCUUAGAUUCUCAAAUUCUCAAAUGCUCAAGCUAAAAGGCUAGCAGAAGAGGGGCAUCUGCGUGGCACAGUUGGUUGAGUGUCUGAUUCUUGAUUUUGGCUCAGGUCAUGAUCCCAAGGGUCUUGGGAUCAAGCCCCACAUCAAGCUCCACACUGAGCAUGGAGCCUGCUUAAGAUUCUCUCUCUCUCUCUCUCUCUCUCUCUCUCUCUCUCUCUCUCCCCACUCUCCCCU